rnacentral:lncRNA from 1 species
GGAACAGAUGAACUACCAUCAGCUGUUAUCCUUUUACAAUAACGAGACUGACAGCCAAUUUGUGAGUUUAGGGUGGGAGCAAGAAGUGCUUACAGCAUAGUGGAUGGGUCUAUGUGUGGGUCUAUUUGUAUAAGGUUUAGAGCAGACUCUUAAACCAGAGCUCUUUGCCUGGGCUCAUCUCCUACACAAACUUCUGAGAUGCUCACGUGUGUGUGCUACUGAGGUUAACAUAUAUGAGAAGCUCAUCUCACAGAAGGAACAUCCAAAAAGAGGAAGCAAACCUGUUUCCUCAGAAUUCGCCCUGGAACUGACUGGAAGAAUGUGAUAGUCCUGGUGACCCAUAACAGAGACCUCCUUGGAUAGCUGUGGGAUGCCUGCAAAGGGCUUGGGAAAGGAACAGGAACUCAGAAGCCAUAGCAUGCUUGGGGCUUCCCCAGUGGGAACUGGCAGGAGACAAACUGGAGGGACCUCUGCGUGCAGGCCUCACCAUGAGGCUCUUGUCACUGGAGGUGACUCCUCAGAGCCCACCCUUCAGGGAGUGGCACUCCUACUUUCCAUCCUACAAUGGCAGCAGUGCUGUAAAGGGCAGUGGAUGGACCUGGGCAUGCUGAAGUAUUGUCACAGAAAAUAA